GCUCUCAAUGUGGUGCAAUGGGUCAGUGAGUCUAGCUGUUAACCAGAAGGUUGGUGGUUCGAGACCACCCAGGAGUG
rnacentral:tRNA from 1 species